UUCCGCAAUGGGCGAAAGCCUGACGGAGCAAGACCGCGUGGGGGAAGAAGGCUCUUGGGUUGUAAACCCCUUUUCUCUGGGAAGAAAGUUGUGAAAGCAGCCUGACGGUACCAGAGGAAUCAGCAUCGGCUAACUCCGUGCCAGCAGCCGCGGUAAGACGGAGGAUGCAAGCGUUAUCCGGAAUGAUUGGGCGUAAAGCGUCCGCAGGUGGCAGUUCAAGUCUGCUGUCAAAGACCGGGGCUCAACCUCGGAAAGGCAGUGGAAACUGAACAGCUAGAGUAUGGUAGGGGCAAAGGGAAUUCCUGGUGUAGCGGUGAAAUGCGUAGAGAUCAGGAAGAACAUCGGUGGCGAAGGCGCUUUGCUGGACCAUAACUGACACUCAGGGACGAAAGCUAGGGGAGCGAAAGG
rnacentral:rRNA from 1 species